UACUUGUGUUUUUCAGGGACAGAAAUAUCGAGUGGAACCAGUGUUUUGGCUAUGGGUCAGACAAUGUAUGAUGGUGGGUCACAACAACUUGGUGCUGUCUAGAAUCAAAGAGAAGUGACCAGAUGUCUAUGACAUGGGCUGCUGUGCCAUAUUGCCAAUACCUGUGUACAGUAGGGGUUGAAAAAGGCCAGCUUUGCUUUUCACUUCCAUCAUAGUUUCAAGAGCAAAGAGAUACAUGGAGAAUUCCUGUCUUUCACCUAUACUGAGCCCUCGAAGAUUUUCAAACAUUGUUCAGCACGCUGGCUAUCCCUUGAGAAAUGUUCGCGGCGGUUUCUUCAGCACUGCCCUGCCUUGAAGUCUUACUUGAACAGUCAUGAUGACAGUGAAAUGUCUGGGAACAGGGUUCAAAGAUGUGCUACCAGACUCCCUGAAUUGUUGUUCAGCCUGAGUUACCACUUACUUGAAUUCAUUAUGGGUCCUCUGAAUGAAUUCAGUAGCAUAUUUCAGGCUAGUGAGUCAAUGAUUGGUUAUCUCCAUCCAGAAAUGGAACAACUAGUGCGGAAGUUUUUAGGGACAUUUGUAUAGACCAAGGUUAUGACAUCUGCCAGAACCAUCACUGAAGUCCAUGCCGAGGAGAGGGAAAACCAACAUCCAGACGAGGACCUGGCUGUGGGUAUGGGUACACUCCCUACAUAUCUUCAUGACAACCCGGAUAUUCCAGCAGAAACCAUCAGAAAGCUUUUCAGUUCUGUGAGAGACUUUAACCUUGGGGGACCAGUAUGAUUGUGAAGAAGUUAUCCAUUGGUGACACUACCUAGCACAACCCAAUCUUCUCCAGGAUUAAAACCUACAGCGUUCUAAUAAAGAUCUUGUGUUGGACCUGUUGAGCUUACAGGCAGAGCUGGCUUGGUGGAAACGACAUCAAAAGGUUGUUGCAUCAUCUGUAGACUAGCAAUAAAUUAGGUGAUAAAAAAUGUGUCAAACAGAAUCAGACUUUUAAAAAAUUUAAUGUACAGUGAAACACCACUCGCUCGAGGUCACAAGGGGAUGAGCAAAAUGCUCAAGUUAUCCAUGGUUUCGAGCGACCCAAACAUUGACAAACAUAUAAAGAAAAAUUAAGUUUGUUUUACCAAUUGUCAUAGGGAUUAUUUGCAGAGGAAACUGUGAUGCGUAAUAAUAACACACUCGUGACAUUUUCAAAAAAACGUAUUACAAACGUUAUCUAUGAUAGUCGUUUCAAUAUGUAAUUUGUAAAUGGCACAUGUGAAGAAACAACUAAGACUUUUUAUUUUUAGCUCACCUGAGCAUGAAGUGCUCAAAGGUGAACUUUUGUGAGCGCCCUGUGUCCGUCAUCUGUCGUCGUCAAUAAUUUGACUGUUAACACUAGAGGUCACAAUUUUGGCCCAAUCUUAAUGAAACUUGGUCAGAAUGUUACUCUCAAUUAAAUCUUGGAUGAGUUCGAUAUUGGGUCAUCUGGGGUCAAAAACUAGGUCACCAGGUCAAAUCAAAGGAAAAGCUUGUUAACACUC